CCUAGACAACCAGGAUGUUGGCUUAGAAGCAGCCAUGCAUUUAAAGAGUGCGUAAUAGCUCACUGGUCGAGUGGACAUGCGCCGACAAUUAACGGGGCUCAAGCAUAACACCGAAGCAGCGGACUAAUUUAUUAGUGGUAGGGGAGCUUUCUGUGUACGUUGAAGUUCAACUGUGAGGUUGGGUGGAGAGCACAGAAGUGAGAAUGCUGGCAUGAGUAACGAGAGAUGGGUGAAAAACCCAUCCGCCGUAAGCCCAAGGGUUCCUGGGGAAGGCUAAUCCCCCCAGGGUUAGUCGGGAGCUAAGCUAAGGCCGAGAGGCGUAGGCGAUGCACAACAGGUUUAUAUUCCUGUACCACUGCGGGUCGUUAUACCGAUGGAGUGACGGAGAAGGGCAGCCGAGCGGGGUUCUGGACGUCCCCGUGAAAGCGUGUAGGGAGAUUUCGCAUGGAAAUCAGCGGAAUCGCUAAUCUCGAGACGUGAGACGAAGCACACUGGUGUGAAGUCGGUCAUCCCAUGCUUCCGAGAAAAGCUUCUAGGAAGACUUUGCAGUGCCCGUACCAAAACCGACACAGGUGGGCGGGUAGAGUAUACCAAGGCGAUCGGGAGAACUAAGUUUAAGGAACUCGGCAAAAUGACCCCGUAACUUCGGGAGAAGGGGUGCCGCUUGUUGUGAUGAGACUUGCUCUCUGAGCGAUGGGCGGCCGCAGUGAAUAGGCCCAAGCGACUGUUUAUCAAAAACACAGGACUCUGCUCUAAGUCGUAAGACGAUGCAUAGGGUCUGACGCCUGCCCGGUGCUGGAAGGUUACGUGGAUGGGUUAGCUUUUAGCGAAGCCUUGAAAUUAAGCCCCAGUAAACGGCGGCCGUAACUAUAACGGUCCUAAGGUAGCGAAAUUCCUUGUCGGGUAAGUUCCGACCUGCACGAAUGGCGUAACGACUUGGGCGCUGUCUCAAACUUAGACCCGGUGAAAUUGCAUUGUCCGUGAAGAUGCGGACUCCCUGCGGAAGGACGGAAAGACCCCGUGAACCUUUACUGCAGCUUGGCAUUGACAUCUGGUACAGCGUGUAGAGGAUAGGCAGGAGACUGUGAAGUGGGGGCGCAAGCCCUCAUGGAGUCACCCUUGGAAUACUGCCCUCGCUGUGCUGGCUGUCUAACUCGCAGCCGUGAUCCGGCGCGAGGACCGUGCCAGGUGGGUAGUUUGACUGGGGCGGUCGCCUCCUAAAAUGUAACGGAGGCGCGCGUAAGGUCCACUCAAGACGGUUGGCAAUCGUGCUUGAGAGCGCAAGAGCGUAAGUGGGCUUGACUGCGAGACCUACAAGUCGAGCAGGUGCGAAAGCAGGCUCUAGUGAUCCGGCGGCCCCAUGUGGGAGGGCCGUCGCUCAACGGAUAAAAGGUACUCCGGGGAUAACAGGCUGAUCUUGCCCAAGAGUCCACAUCGACGGCAAGGUUUGGCACCUCGAUGUCGGCUCAUCGCAUCCUGGGGCUGUAGCCGGUCCCAAGGGUAUGGCUGUUCGCCAUUUAAAGCGGUACGCGAGCUGGGUUCAGAACGUCGUGAGACAGUUCGGUCCCUAUCCUCCGCAGGCGCAAGGGAAUUGAAGGAAGCUGCCCCUAGUACGAGAGGACCGGGGUGGACGUACCUCUGGUGUAGCGGUUGUUGACCAACAGCAUCGCCGCAUAGCUACGUACGGAAUGGAUAACCGCUGAAAGCAUCUAAGCGGGAAGCCACACCUAAGAUGAGUUCCCUUUUUGGUAAGGACCCUUAUAGACUAUGAGGUUGAUAGGGCGCAGUUGUAAGUACAGUAAUGUAUUCAGACGAGCGCUACUAAUUGUCCGAGCUUUUUAUUAC
rnacentral:rRNA from 1 species